GCUAAUCCUUGCUGACAGAGAUAGGCUACACUCUGUAUGCCAGCCUUAAUAAACCAGUGUUGCCUCCCAAGUCUGGGGCCUAAUUUAAGUGAAGUUAAUUUGGUAUUUAAUCUACUCAUUGUUCCCGGAGUCCACAAAGCACCUUGGUGAUAACCCAAGAGAUCAUUCCAGGCAGCCAUGGCCCAUGCCAAUAAACUCCUCCUGCUGCCCAGGUGCCACCACCCAGCGCUCUGCUUUCCAAUCCUGCUUUCCCUUUUGCUUUCACUUCCUGCCCCAGCCCAUUUCGCUGUUGUCUCUCGGUGCUCCAUGGCACCUGCAGGUUUGGGCAUUUCCUGGUGCAUUCGCAUGUGGAUGUUCCAUCAAAACCACCACACAUGGCCAGGUAGAGGGGCAUUCUCCUUUAUGAGUUUCCAUAAAUAUUCCAUGAUAACGACACUCACUUGGGCUGGCAGGUGCAAAGAUCAGGCUGCCAGGAGUACGUAUUUCAUCUCACUUCCUCCUUUGCCCAUAACUUGUCCUAUCUACAGAAAGCGAAGCUGCAACCAGUUUGACAGGGUGCCAGAAGGUCUUGCUUGCAUCCUCACCAGCAUGGGAAACUUCCACAGCUUCUACAUCACCUGGGCAAAGAGGCUCUGCCCAGGCUGUGCAAGUGAGGAUGACAGCAAAGACAACGACCUCACAGUUCACAUGGAGAUGGGAGCAGCGACUGGACAAGACAGCCAGCCCAGCUCCACAGGUGAGCUCAUUCCUUCCCAGGGGGAGAAGUCUUCCCCGACUGCUUUUGGGCCUCCUAGAGCAGAAGGAAUCUAUUUCAGCAUCUGUAAUGUUGCUUAGGAUGCCCUGGCAUCCUGCCAGCUUUCUGAAAAGUUAGAGGUGCCCAUGAGGCAUCUCCAUGGUAACUCUGGGAUGCUGAUCCCAGCUGGGUGCAAUGUCCAUGUGGGAACAGCAGGCUGCCAGGUUCAUCUUCCCCGGCCUUUUGGAAGGGCAGAAGGAACUGAGGGGGGCUCUGGUUCCUCUUGUUGCACUCCCAGGCUGCUGGAGGAGCAGCACUUCAGUCACCCAGGAGCUUUGACCUGAGGAACAAGCCAAAUGGCUCUUCCCAGCUGGUGGCAAAAUUCCUGGCAAAAGUAUUUUUGGCUUUUCUUUCUUUGUUUGUUUUUGUUGGGUUUUUGUUGUUGUUAUUGUGGGGUUUUUUUUGUUUGGUUUGGUCUGGUUUGUUUUGGAAGGUUUUGGUACAAAAUGAUUUGGGGUUUUGGGCUUCUCCCAAAGCCUGGAGAUGCGAGCAGCCCAUACCUGGUGGGUGUUCCAUACUCCAGCCCAUGUCAAACACGCCAGCACCCCAUGGCAGGGCAGCAGGAGUACAGGACACCACUGUGGUAUUGGGAUUUUGGGUGGGAAUGGCAGUAACGGCCAACCUGAGAGACGGUGUGGCCCUCAAGGAAGGCAGCAGAUUCAGAAAAGGAGGGUUUCAUCCAUAUCUCCAUGGCCUUAGCCAAAAGAAAUGAGUUUCUGUGUGAAGGAAAUAGUCCAGCCCCCCUGGGCACACAUUCUUCCUGCCAGCCAGCUUCAUGUGUUAUGAGGGACACAACAGACCUCCAUUGUGUCACUCCUGCCCUGAGAACACACAGAAUCAGCAGGAUUCCAGGUCCAAGGAUGCCCAAAGGCAGCAAAACUCAGCCUGACUCACCCUGAAUUGAAUAUAUACAUUUCCUUUUGGCAUUGUCACACCCCAUCCCAUCCUGACAAGCACCAGAUUCUUCGCUCAAGAGCACCUGAUAUGGUGUUUUGGUAGCCAUAGCUUAGAGGAAUGCUCACAGAAACACCAGGGGUACUUCUUCAAACAGAGGCCUUGCAGCAAACUCCAACUGUUCAAUUCUUUCACCUGACGCUGCAGCAAACAUGGGUAGAGCUUCUCAAAAACAAGAGCCAGUUACCUCUACACUUCUCUAAGGCAGUGGUGAACUUGUGUCUGUUGCCAGUGUUGUGUCCUCAGCUCAUCCAACAGCUCAGGUGUCCAAGAUCACCAUGAGAGCAUCCAGCUCCUUCCACAGCAUCCUGGCACCCUGGGUUAAGAAGAAAUAACCCCAGUGAGUGCUGUUCCAUAAUCUUGCCCCCACAUGACCACUCAGGUCCUUCAGCUCUAACCCAGACAAACACAACCAGGGAGCC